GACGAACGCUGGCGGCGUGCUUGACACAUGCAAGUCGAACAGAAAGGCCUGCUUUCCCUUGUGGAUUGCGGGUACUCGAGUGGCGAACGGGUGAGUAACACGUGAGUGAUCUGCCCCCAACUUGGGUAUAAGCCUGGGAAACUGGGUCUAAUUCCCGAUAGGACUGCAGGGUGGUGCCUGUGGUGGAAAACGAUUUUCUAGUGGUUGGGGAUGAGCUCGCGGCCUAUCAGCUUGUUGGUGGGGUAAUGGCCUACCAAGGCGGCGACGGGUAGCCGGCCUGAGAGGGUGGACGGCCACAUUGGGACUGAGAUACGGCCCAGACUCCUACGGGAGGCAGCAGUGGGGAAUAUUGCACAAUGGGCGGAAGCCUGAUGCAGCGACGCCGCGUGGGGGAUGACGGCCUUCGGGUUGUAAACUCCUUUCGACCGCGAGGAAGCCACCUGGUUGGAAGGGUGGUGACGGUAGUGGUAGAAGAAGCACCGGCUAACUACGUG
rnacentral:rRNA from 1 species